rnacentral:sRNA from 1 species
CUCUUGGGAAUUCACCUUGCGUACCCUACUAUACGGACGGGUAUAAAUAAGGAAUAGAAAGUCUCGGGAGAAGGGACGUUUUUCGGGACCUGGAGAAAGGAUAGCACAAGUCAGCUCGCCCAGAUCAG